CGAAAUAUAGCUUAAUUAAAGCAUCUCGCUUACACCGAGAAAACAUUUGUUAAACCCAAAUUACUUCGA
rnacentral:tRNA from 4 species